UAUUGUAUCAGCUUCAUUGAGCCUGUGUG
rnacentral:piRNA from 1 species